rnacentral:ncRNA from 2 species
ACGAAUUCUCAGGGCGGGGUGAAAUUCCCCACCGGCGGUAAAUAUCUAUUUAGGUAUCAGCCCGCGAGCGCUUAACGAGUUAUUUAGUUAAGGUCAGCAGAUCUGGUGCAAACCCAGAGCCGACGGUUAUAGUCCGGAUGAAAGAGGAUCAGU